rnacentral:rRNA from 1 species
UACGUAGGGUGCAAGCGUUAAUCGGAAUUACUGGGCGUAAAGCGUGCGCAGGCGGUUAUGCAAGACAGAUGUGAAAUCCCCGGGCUCAACCUGGGAACUGCAUUUGUGACUGCAUAGCUAGAGUACGGUAGAGGGGGAUGGAAUUCCGCGUGUAGCAGUGAAAUGCGUAGAUAUGCGGAGGAACACCGAUGGCGAAGGCAAUCCCCUGGACCUGUACUGACGCUCAUGCACGAAAGCGUGGGGAGCAAACAGA